rnacentral:rRNA from 3 species
CACCCCUUCCCAUCCCGAACAGGACCGUGAAACGACUCCACGCCGAUGAUAGUGCGGAUUGCCCGUGUGAAAGUAGGUAAUCGUCAGGC